rnacentral:rRNA from 1 species
AUGAGCGCUAGCGGCAGGCUUAAUACCUGCAAGUCGUGGGGCAGCAGGACUGUAGCAAUACAGUUGCUGGCGACCGGCAAACGGGUGCGGAACACGUACGCAACUUACCCUGAACUGGGGGAUAGCCCGGGGAAACCCGGAUUAAUACCCCGUAAUAUAAUGGAGUGGCAUCACUUUAUUAUUAAAGCUCCGGCGGUUCGGGAUGGGCGUGCGGCUGAUUAGGUAGUUGGUUGAGGUAACGGCUCACCAAGCCUACGAUCAGUAACUGGUGUGAGAGCACGACCAGUCACACGGGCACUGAGACACGGGCCCGACUCCUACGGGAGGCAGCAGUAAGGAAUAUUGGGCAAUGGAGGCAACUCUGACCCAGCCAUGCCGCGUGGAGGAUGAAGGCCCUCUGGGUUGUAAACUUCUUUUAUGGGGGACGAAACCUGUGUAUUCUUACGCAGUUGACGGUACCCUAGGAAUAAGCACCGGCUAACUCCGUG